GUGGCAGACCCCAGAAGCAGAAGGGUAUCAAGGACAACUGACACAUCGGUCCCUGGGGCACUGCUGCAGGAGGGGCCAGCAGCUCAUCCUCUCCUGAUGCUCUUCCAUCUGCUCUUGAGCCAAACAGCAGUGACAAAGUGUCAGCCUCCAGGUAGGAGUCAUGGCCAGGGAGAACAGUUUAGGCAGAUAUGGCCCUGUGCCAUAAGGAGGGGAAUUGGGCAACAGACCUGAACACCCUGGAGAAAUCUCACCCAGUGGAUUCUCCCUCUUCCUGGUCCCUGAGAAAAGGCCAGAGGACAAAUUUAGACCAGCAGUCUUCCCACGAAUAUGACACACUGACAGAGGAUGUAAUUCAUGCAAUCCAGCAGAGAAUCGCAACCCUAGAGAUUGCAGAGACAAGAUCACCACACAUGCAGGCAAGCCCAGCACUACAAAAGAUGACAGACGCAACACGAUGGAUGAACCGCCACUCAAGCUAGAAAAUCCAGGAGCUGGAGGCCACACUGUACAAUGCGCUGCAACAGGAGCCGGGGCGGAGGGCCAGCGAGGCGCUGAGCGAGGGCCAGCGGGAGGACCUGCAGCCGCCGUGGAGAAGCUGCGCCGGCAGAUCCUGCGGCAGAGCCGGGAGUUUGACAGUCAGAUCCUGCGGGAGCGCAUGGAGCUGCUGCAGCAGGCCCAGCAGGUGAGUUGGCUACACUUUAUCUCCAUGGUUGAGAUAGACAUUUUCCCGCCAAGUCCACACGAGCAUUUCCUGAAGCUGUCACAAGAGAGACUUCGUUCCCAGAUGGAUCACUGCUUCAUAAAGUGCCUACAUCUUGUCAAGUGCAAGCGCCGGAAAAAAGCAGAGCAUGCGCAAGAUUUAUUCAUUGGGUCACGUUUGAUGGACAUUUAA
rnacentral:lncRNA from 1 species